rnacentral:rRNA from 1 species
UACGGAAGGCAGCAGUGGGGAAUAUUGCACAAUGGGCGAAAGCCUGAUGCAGCUAUGCCGCGUGUAUGAAGAAGGCCUUAGGGUUGUAAAGUACUUUCAUCGGGGAGGAAAAAACAAAACUAAUAAUUUUAUUUCUUGACGUUACCCGAAAAAGAAGCACCGGCUAACUCCGUGCCAGCAGCCGCGGUAAUACGGAGGGUGCUAGCGUUAAUCAGAAUUACUGGGCGUAAAGAGCACGUAGGUGGUUUUUUUAAAGUCAGAUGUGAAUCCCUGGGCUUAACCUAGGAACUGCAUUUUGAAACUGAAAUACUAGAGUAUUGUAGAGGGAGGUAGAAUUCUAGGUGUAGCGGUGAAAUGCGUAGAUAUCUGGAGGAAUACCUGUGGCGAAAGCGGCCUCCUAAACGAAUACUGACACUGAGGUGCGAAAGCGUGGGGAGCAAACAGGGAUUAGAUACC